GCAAGUGACAGGCUUCAAUGGCCUCAGCCCCAAAAUUCUUUAUUAUCUGCUGUGUUAACAUCAUGAGGAUGUCAUCUACCAACACCACUGUUCUUGAAAUCUGUCUGUUCAUGUGAAGGUUAUAGUCGUCCAGCAAUCUGCUCAUAUCCUCUCUGUUGAUCCUCCUCUAGCUACCAAUGGUCAAUCAUCUGACAUUCUUAUAUCCUCUUGUUGAUCCUCCUCUAGCUACCAAUGGUCAAUCAUCUGACAUUCUUAUAUUCUCUCUGUUUAUCCUCCUCUCGCUACCAAUGGUCAAUCAUCUCACAUUCUUAUAUCUUCUCAGUUUUUCCAUCUCUAGCUACUGAAGGUCAAUCAUCUCACAUUGUUAUAUCCUCUCUGUUUAUCUUCCUCUAGCAACCAACGGACAUUCGGAGUGUUUGCGUUUGCUGAUUGGAAAUGCUGACAUCCAGAAACCCCUCUGAUGCUGUCGGUGCUGAGCGGACACAGACUGUGUGUACUCCCUGUUCAACAAGGGAGCAAGCGUAGAAGCCAAAGACAAAUGGCACAGAACAGCUCUACACAGAAGGGUUGUGAGGAGAGUUGGCUGCGGUGACUUUUCACGAGGAGUGCAGCACAGUGCCAGCUUCCUGGUUCGGGAAGGUAAGGGGCGGAGCCAUGUCCACCUGGUGGCGGCGUCCGGACACAUCGGGAUACUGGGGUGGCUCCUACACACCGCCCAGUCAGUGUGGACCCUCCCCGUCAUCACAGACAACCAGGGCUACACGCCACUACACUUGGCCUGCUACAACGGUAUGUACUGGACAGAGGGACAGCGAAGUGGGCCAGAGGCCACAAACAAAUACACACAUAAACAUAGCGUGUCUUAAAUCACCACAGCCAGCUUCAGGAGGGCACGAACCGAGACAGUCCGCACAGGAACCUUAAGAGUCCCUCAGACAGAGAGAGAGAAGAGGGAGGGAUAGGGGGAGGCACAACAGGCCCACACUCAUCCUCUCAUACCACCAGGUUCCCUUCCAGCAGAUACUGCACUUCAGAGGAACUGCUGCUGCUAUACCCCAUCUUUACCUUUACCCACAAAGGUCCUAAACGGUAGAAAGUGUCCGGCCAACAGACAGACGCACACCUUAUGACGGCAAUAACCUGUAGUCCAAGGGGAUAGUAGCACUUCACUGAGAGCAAAACAGACAGGGACCAAAAGAUGUGGAAGAAGCAUUUUCAAAACCUGUUUUGACUGUAGAAAUUGGGCUGAGUGUUUGUGCUGAGAAAAGACAUAAGGAGUGAUGUUUCAUUUAAGUUUCAUGAGAGUGAUUGUCAUGUUUAUCCGCACACUAAGACAGUCAGAACGCACCUAGCCUCUUGUCUGUAAUCCAUGUGGGAGGAGGGGAAAUCAUACAUUCUGUAUGAACAAAUAU